rnacentral:rRNA from 1 species
CAGCAGCCGCGGGAAUACGGAGGGUGCAAGCGUUAUCCGGAUUUAUUGGGUUUAAAGGGUCCGUAGGCGGAUCUGUAAGUCAGUGGUGAAAUCUCACAGCUUAACUGUGAAACUGCCAUUGAUACUGCAGGUCUUGAGUAAAUUUGAAGUGGCUGGAAUAAGUAGUGUAGCGGUGAAAUGCAUAGAUAUUACUUAGAACACCAAUUGCGAAGGCAGGUCACUAAGAUUUAACUGACGCUGAUGGACGAAAGCGUGGGGAGCGAACAGGAUUAGAGACCCCUGUAGUCCCUGUCUCUUAUAC